rnacentral:lncRNA from 1 species
UAAUUAUUGAUCAAUACUAAUUAAAUAAUACUAUUAAUAUAUUAGGACUUAUAAUAUAUUAAUAAACCAUAAGUGUUAUUUCUCUCAUUUUAGUCUAUCCAAAUGCAUGAUGCCAUGCAACCCAAAUGGACCAUGUUGAUCGAGUCAAGUACAUCCUAGAAUAGUUAUGAACUUAGACACCUAAUCCAAUAGUCUCCCACUUGGAUAAGUCUAAUAACUAUAUCUGCAAGAAUAACUUCAGGAACCGAUCAUCAAUCGUAGCUGUUUCAAGGUCUCGCAGAACUGAGAUGACGAUGAUAUUCCAUUUAAGAUAAGUGAUCAUAUAAUCCUAUGUUCUAGAUAUCAGCCGGACAAAUACAUGGAACAAUGUCUUACUUAUUGUCCAGCUGUUUGUUUCCAGAUUUCCGAUUUGUUUGACUUAGAGCUUAAGUGAAUAGAUCAACUUAGUUCUGACCAGGCCCGAUACAUGUGUAACAUCCCAAAAUUCAAGGCCAAAAAUUUAAUUUUUAAAUAAAUUAUAACAUAAAAACCAUCGGUAUAAAAACAUUCAUGAUGAUAUCUCAUGUCACAACCAAUGUCUCAAUAAUCCAAAACAUGUCACCAUAAAAUCAUUUUGUCCAAAAGUAAAAUAAAUCAGAGUACAUUCCCAGGAAAAUCCAUGUGGAAAACAUGUGUGUGUGAUGCGUUGCUACACCACUGGCUCCUUCCCCUUAGACGAAGACGUACCUGAAACCAAAAAUAAAACUAUAAGCACGAAGCUUAGUGAGAUCCCCCAUCAUACCCAUAGCACAUAAUCAUCAGUAUCUUUCAACCGUAACCAAGGCUAGGGCACCCUACUACUACUAGCACGUACUCAACACAGAUAUAGCAACCAGAAAAUCAUCACAAAGAUAACCAUCUCAACCAUAAUCACCUACUGGUGGGCCGGCAUUGGUGCCGUAUACCCACCCCUACUGGAAGGUGACUCACCUCGUAAGGUUAACUGCUGAAAGGCUGAUCAACAGAUGUACGACUGCUGCUCAGGUGAUCCUUUGGCUAUAAUUCCCAUAAAACACUUAGUCAGACACUGAUAACUAUUCUUAGGGAAAAAUGACUACUGUAACACCGUAAAUUUCAAAACAAUUUUUUGCAUUUUAUAAAAACACAAAUCAUUUAACAUUCAUAAAAGCAUUAAUAUUUGAAACUCAAUCGAUACUACAUAAAAAUCCGAAGAUCUGAUAACAUAAAAAUCCCGUGUGUGUGUACUGAUCAAGUCGGCGCCUUCCCAUGGUCAUCACUAGUACCUGAAACAAAUAACACCAACAUUGUAAGCACAAAUCUUAGUGACUUCUCCAAAAUACCACACAUAACACAUAUUAGCCACUCGAGGCUCUAACUCUGUGGGUCCGUAGACCCUACUCUGUGAACCCUCUGGUUCUAAUCUCUGUGAACCUUCCGGUUCCAACUCUAUAAACAUGCACAUCAUAAAUCACAUAGAAAUAAUGCAGUACAACACAUAACAUACAUAUAGCAUACAAAUACUCUGUCACAUAACUCUGAUUACCUACUCAAGGUAAAGUAUAGUGAGAAGACUCACCUCGCGUAUCUCGAUAACUCGCAAAUCCCAGAAAUCACUCGCGCUCGAUCCCCCGAGCUAUAAUCCUCCUAUAACACAAUACAUCUCUAAUUAACACUUUCACAACUAAGGUUGACUACCCCUAUCAAGUCAACACUGGUCGAUGGUCAACGGUCAACUUUGACCAGACUCGGCGAGUGCACUAUAGCGACUCGGCGAGUCUAUACGUAUCCACUGAUUCCCUGGGAUCCUCUCUCGACACGUCGAGUAUUUUCCUAACUCGACGAGUUCCACCUGGCAUGAGUUGCGGGGCCACCACGACUCAACUCGCCGAGUCUCAAGAACAACUCGGCGAGUUCCAGCUUGACUCAGUCCACCUGUCAACCCUCUCUGACUCUCCCUGACUCACUGAGUCAACCCCUUAACUCGGCAAGACCACUCGCUGAGUGGUUAUGGACAAUCUUCAUGCUACUCGCCGAGUCUGUUCUUCGGACUCGGCGAGUCUAUGCCAUGCAUAAACUCAAACUCACUCCUGAGGUCAGAUCCGUUCCAAUAACUCAUAGAUCCAGUCCUUCCAAGCACAUACAUCACGUAAAGUUACAAUCUUGGUGCUCAUGCAAAGGUCCAAAGGCCUUAUUUGAUGAUAUGGUCUCUAGAAUGCUAUUCUAAGCUCAUGGCCUCCAUUAACACUCAUAAAGCUUGAGGGAAAAGAGUCUCUGGACCUCUUUGGGUCCAGAUCUAAAGCACCAACACAAGAAGAGGCCAAUUACUCCAUGGAUCAUUCCACAAAGAAACCCUAACUCUAAGAUUUACACCAAGGACUGAGAAAGGAACGAAUGGUUACCUCAAAUGAAGUCUCUGAGCUCAGGAAUCACUGGAUUAGCACCUUCUUUGGUCUCCUCUUGCCUUGAUCCUCUUCUAUAUGCAAAAACACCCACAAAUAGUCAAGGAUCUUCCUCUUCUCUCUCACAAAACGCUCAAAGACUCUUUAGGGUUCUCUCUGGGGUUGGUGGCCGCAAAUGACGGCCAUAAGCCCCUUUAAAUAGGUCUCAUACCCUGGAAAUUAGGGUUUCAUUAAACAGCGUGGACUCGCCGAGUCCACCUUUUGGACUCGCCGAGUCCGGACGCGAACCCUUGCCCAAACCGCGAUCAUACUCGGCGAGUUUGAGCUCCAACUCGCCGAGUCUCCUCACAAAUCACCAAAAAUUAUAAGAAUAAAUAAUACCUGGGAAUCCGGGCUGUUACAAUUCUCCCCCACUAGAACUAGACUUCGCCCUCGAAGUCUCGCUCUGCAAAUAACUCCGGAUGCUGCUCACGCAUCUCACGCUCCGGCUCCCAAGUCAUCUCGGACCCCUUCCGAUGCUGCCACUGAACCAAAACCAAGGGUACCUCCUUGUUCCUCAGAACCUUGAUUUUUCGAUCUCUGAUCGCCACUGGUCUCUCAGCAUAAUUCAGGCUCGCAUCCACCUGAAUAUCCUCUAAUGGAACCACUGCCGACUCAUCGGCUAUACAUUUCCUCAGUUGCGACACAUGAAAAGUGUCGUGAAUCUGCCCCAACUCUGCUGGCAAAUCCAAACGAUAGGCUACCCGGCCUACCCUCGCGAUCACUCGGAAUGGACCAAUAUAUCGGGGCCCCAACUUGCCCCUCUUCCUGAAUCGAAUCACUCCUUUCCAAUGAGAGACCUUCAGGAGCACAAGGUCGCCGACCUGAAACUCAAGCUCGGACCGGCAUCUGUCUGCAUAACUCUUUUGACGACUCUGAGCGGUCAAUAACCUCUGUCUGACUUGCUGGAUCUACUCUGUCGUCUGAAGCACGAUAUCUGUACUGCCCAUCACACGCUGUCCAACCUCUCCCCAGCAAAUGGGGGUCCGACACCUCCUCCCAUACAAAUGCUCAAAGGGUGGCAUACCAAUGCUCGAAUGAUGUCUGUUGUUGUAGGAAAACUCUGCCAAGGGAAAGUACGUAUCCUAACUUCCCCCGAAAUCCAACACACACUCCCGGAGCAUGUCUUCGAGCGUCUGAAUCGUCCGCUCACUCUGUCCGUCUGUCUGGGGGUGAUAUGCGGUACUAGAAUGCAGUCUAGUACCCAACUCCUUGUGAAACUUCUUCCAGAAUUUGGAAGUGAAACGCACAUCACGGUCUGAAACAAUCGAGAUCGACACUCCAUGCCGAGACACCACUUCCCUCACAUACACCUCUGCCAAUUUCUCUGCUGACGAACUCUUGCUGAUAGCAAGAAAGUGAGUUCUCUUCGUCAACCUGUCCACAAUCACCCAAAUUGCAUCAACUCCCCUGGCAGUCCUUGGCAAUUUGGUGAUAAAAUCCAUGGUGAUAUGUUCCCACUUCCAUUCGGGAACCUCCAACGGUUGCAACUUACCAUGCGGCCUCUGGUGCUCGGCCUUAACCCUACGACAGGUCAAGCACCUCUCAACAAACCACGCAACAUCCCUCUUCAUACAGGGCCACCAAUACUCUUUCCUCAGGUCCAAAUACAUCUUAGUGGCCCCAGGAUGGAUCGAAAAUUUCGACCGAUGAGCCUCUUCCAUCAAAAUGGUACGCGUUCCUCCCACAAACGGCACCCAGAUACGCCCCUGGAAUGUCAUAAGCCCCCGACCAUCGGUAACGAACUCUGAAAUCAAUCCAACAACUCGCUCUUUCUUCUGCAUCUCAGGUUGCACAGCCUCGGCCUGUGCCCCACGAAUGGCGUCCAACACUGGAGCUAUCACGGUCAAUCUCAAACAUACAUCCCGCAGCGGGGUGCUCUCCGCCCUGCGGCUCAGUGCAUCAGCUACAACAUUAGCCUUGCCUGGGUGGUACAGGAUCUCACAAUCAUAAUCCUUGACCACAUCCAACCACCUUCUCUGUCGCAUAUUUAGGUUGGGCUGAUCCAUCAAAUACUUCAAACUCUUAUGGUCCGUGUAUAUCGUACACCGAACCCCAUACAGGUAGUGACGCCAAAUCUUGAGGGCGAACACCACUGCCCCCAACUCUAGAUCAUGGGUGGGAUAUCUCGACUCAUGAGGCUUCAGCUGCCUCGAUGCGUAUGCUAUCACAUGCCCUCUCUGCAUCAACACCGCUCCCAACCCCAAGAUCGAUGCAUCACAGUAUACCACAAAGUCCUCCAUCCCCUCCGGGAGGGCUAACACCGGGGCUUCGCAUAACCUUUGGCGAAGCGUCUCAAAGGAGGCCUGCUGCUCGGGGCCCCAUGAAAAAGCGACACCCUUCCGGGUCAACCUGGUGAGUGGCACUGCGAUCUUAGAGAAAUCCUUGAUAAAUCUCCGAUAAUAACCUGCCAACCCUAGGAAACUCCUGAUCUCGGAGGGUGACCUCGGCACCUCCCAACUCAUCACCGCCUCAACUUUGGCCGGGUCGACCAAUAUCCCUUUCUGGUUAACGAGAUGACACAAGAACUGGACCUCUCGCAACCAGAAAUCUCACUUGGAGAAUUUGGCAUAAAGCCUAUCCACUCUCAGAACUCCGAGGAUCUCCCUCAAAUGCUCCUCAUGCUGCUCUCUAGAUCUCGAACACACCAAAAUAUCGUCAAUAAAUACAAUCACUGACCGAUCCAGCAUCGGCCUGCACACUCGGUUCAUGAGAUCCAUGAACACUGCAGGGGCAUUGGUGAGCCCGAAAGGCAUCACCACAAACUCGUAAUUCCCAUAACGCGUCCUGAACGAUGUCUUAUGGACGUCCUCAUCUCGCACCCUCACCUGACGAUAUCUAGACCUCAAAUCGAUCUUGGAGAACCAAGAUGCUCCAUGUAACUGAUCGAACAAAUCGUCGAUCCUCGGCAAAGGGUAACGGUUCUUGACCGUCAGCUUGUUCAACUCCGAGUAAUCAAUGCACAUCCGGUGUGAACCAUCCUUCUUCUUGACAAACAGGAUAGGCACUCCCCAUGGCGAGCUGCUCGGCCGAAUAAACCCCUUCCCCAGCAGCUCCUGAAGCUGCGAGGAUAACUCUUGCAUCUCUGGAGGUGCAAGGCGAUAAGGCACCUUAGCGAUAGGCGCAGCCCCCGGAACCAAAUCGAUCGGGAAAUCAACACCGAAAAUCUCGAACAAGCACCCCCGGAGAACCUCUGUGGCAUAUAUCACCCUCUCGUCAGCUAUGGAAACUCUCAGAGGCCGACUCAAUGCCUCACGACUAACACUGAUAUGCUGACUAAAGGCCAAAGACACAAAAGACCGACUCGCACCCGAGUCAAAUAACACUAAGACAGGUACAGAAUUCACAAGAAAAGUACCUACGCAUAACAUAAUNGUCAACAUAAAAAUAAAUACACGAUAGAAUACAUACCAUCCACGACAUCGGGCACUGCGCGGACCUCCUCCGCAGUCAACUGAAAGGCUCUCCCUCGUGCCCUCGGCGCCUCGGCCUUCACUGGCCGACUCUCGGUAGCUCUGAUGGCGGCAGGGGCAGAUCCCUGAGGUGCUCCCUGAGAUGAUCCUCGCAAUUGCGGAAACUCUGCCUUCCGUUGUCUGGUCUGGUUGCAGUAGAAACACACCGCAAACCCCUUGGGGUAGUCCUUGGCCAUAUGCCCCUCCUAGCCACAUUUGUAGCACGAUCCCGCUCUACAGACUCUAUCAUGACCCUUACCGCACUUCCCACAAGUGUGGCCCUUCUGGCUCCCUGAUUUGGGAUCAGCGGGCUUGGCCCGCUUGGCUGCCGGCUGAGACUGCGCCAGUCGCCGAUCCCUCCCCUGAGACUUCGCCUUCUCCCUGGCUUGAGUCUCUAGCUCAAUCUCACUUUUCCGGGCAUUUGCCUGAAGCUCGGGAAAUGUCCGGUACGAGGAGUUCGCCACGAACUCCCGAAUGUCUCGCCUCAAGAUACUCAAAUAUCGGCUCAUACGUGCCUGCUCAGUGGACACGUGCUCAGGGCAGAACAUCGCCCUCUCGUGGAACAUCCUGGUAAUCACCGUAACAAACUCAGUACCCUGCUUGAGGGUCAGAAACUCCUGGGCCAAACGCUCCCUCUCCACCUGGGGAACGUACUCAUCUCGGAACAUGGCAGUGAACCUCUCCCAGGUCACUGCCGCAAGCUCAGCAGGCGUAAAGUGCGCCGUCACAAACUUCCACCAGUCCUUCGCUCCCAAGCGAAGCUGGUUCAGCGCGAACCGUACUCUCAAAUGCUCAGGAGAUGAGCAAGUGAAGAAACACCCCUCUAUGUCAAAAAUCCAUCUCAUAGCUGCCACCGUGUCCUGGGUCCCAUCAAACUCUGGCGGCUUUAUGUUGCUGAACUCUCGGAACAGCAAUGUAUCACCACCCUGCGGCCUCGCGGCAGCAAUAGCUACGGUGGCCGCNNNNNNNNNNNNNNNNNNNNNNNNNNNNNNNNNNNNNNNNNNNNNNNNNNNNNNNNNNNNNNNNNNNNNNNNNNNNNNNNNNNNNNNNNNNNNNNNNNNNAUGUACACUUAGGAAGUGUUAGAAUGCUCAAAACCCAACACAAACCGCUACUAUUCGACGAGUUGGGCCAUCAACUCGCCGAGUCUCAAUCCAAAUUGUGAAAAAUACUUGAAUGAAAUACAUACCAGGAACCGGGUGCUACAACAUGGGUCAACACAAAAUCAUCGACAUGCCCAAAUAUCUCUUCUAAUCCAAGAAGGAACAGAUAAACUUCGACUCAUAUGCUUGUUCUUCUACUCGUUGAAUCAUACACAAAGGAACGUUUUAUAGAGUCGAGUUACCAAUGCGUUUUCGUACGAUCAAUGCAUAACCAACUCAUAGGAAACAAGUCAUAUCUCUAGGUUUGAAGACUUAUAUGAUAUUACAGUCUCACGAUCACUCGAGAUAAAUUCCAUGAAGUGAUACCAGUGAGCGUAGGUUGAAUCCAAUACUCAGAACUUAUGAGCACUCAUGAGUGUUGUAGUACCACUUUGUCCAACAUAUUAGACCUCUAUAAGCCAACCCAUGACCGUCUUGAUUCAUAUCUACUUCCAACAUAUGACCGACUGUGGAUGGUUUGAAUAACUUAGUCAUUCAGGAAAAGCGACUUAGUUAUUCUGGAAGUCAAAACAUGAAAAGUGAAACACAAGAAUAAUCGAAUCCAAUAUGGACUCAAAACUUAUUAAUAUAAAUAAAACAUCUUUUAUUUAUAACCAUAUUGAUUACCCAUCAUUCAUUGCAUACUGUUUCAAACUAUCACCUUUAUACUUGCAUUAAAAAACAAUAGUUGUCCCAUGCUCCAAGCAUGUACACUAUGUUUUUCUAAACACUAGUCAUGCCAUACAGCAAGUAUGCACACUAUGUUUUUUUCCUAUGAUCUUUACUUUGUGCAAUAGAUCGAUUGAACAUAAUUCCAGUGAUACUCAUUUCACAAUCCCAAAUCCUUACCGCAAAUGCAAGAAUUCCAAAUUCCUGCCAUUAACCUAGAUCUGUUAGAUUCUAAACUUAUAUGCAUUGGUCCUCUUGUAAUGAUUAUGCACAAAGUCACAAAGACUUGUCAACAAACAUUACAUAGUAUUCCAAUAGAGAUUAACUCCAUGGAAACGAAGUCUUAUAUUCAAAGUUCAUUGCCUUUGAACAUUCUUCUUGCAUUAAGUUUCCUAAUCUUACACAGAUUUAAUGAGUACCUUCCACCUAUGGGAACAUUUCCAUAUUCCCCUUUCGACUAUUACUCUUGAACAAAAGUUGCCUCUUUUCAGAUUAUGAAAAGGGAUGCUGUAAUCAUAAUCGAAUUUUAGAACGCAAAUAAUGGACCCAUAUAUAGAAUUUCCUUAUGUUGAGCCACUCCAACAUAAAAUUCAUAUAUAUAUAUAUAUAUAUAUAUAUAUAUAUAUAUCCUUGACUAAAGAUGAUUAAAACCUCAAUCUAANNNNNNNNNNNNNNNNNNNNNNNNNNNNNNNNNNNNNNNNNNNNNNNNNNNNNNNNNNNNNNNNNNNNNNNNNNNNNNNNNNNNNNNNNNNNNNNNNNNNNNNNNNNNNNNNNNNNNNNNNNNNNNNNNNNNNNNNNNNNNNNNNNNNNNNNNNNNNNNNNNNNNNNNNNNNNNNNNNNNNNNNNNNNNNNNNNNNNNNNNNNNNNNNNNNNNNNNNNNNNNNNNNNNNNNNNNNNNNNNNNNNNNNNNNNNNNNNNNNNNNNNNNNNNNNNNNNNNNNNNNNNNNNNNNNNNNNNNNNNNNNNNNNNNNNNNNNNNNNNNNNNNNNNNNNNNNNNNNNNNNNNNNNNNNNNNNNNNNNNNNNNNNNNNNNNNNNNNNNNNNNNNNNNNNNNNNNNNNNNNNNNNNNNNNNNNNNNNNNNNNNNNNNNNNNNNNNNNNNNNNNNNNNNNNNNNNNNNNNNNNNNNNNNNNNNNNNNNNNNNNNNNNNNNNNNNNNNNNNNNNNNNNNNNNNNNNNNNNNNNNNNNNNNNNNNNNNNNNNNNNNNNNNNNNNNNNNNNNNNNNNNNNNNNNNNNNNNNNNNNNNNNNNNNNNNNNNNNNNNNNNNNNNNNNNNNNNNNNNNNNNNNNNNNNNNNNNNNNNNNNNNNNNNNNNNNNNNNNNNNNNNNNNNNNNNNNNNNNNNNNNNNNNNNNNNNNNNNNNNNNNNNNNNNNNNNNNNNNNNNNNNNNNNNNNNNNNNNNNNNNNNNNNNNNNNNNNNNNNNNNNNNNNNNNNNNNNNNNNNNNNNNNNNNNNNNNNNNNNNNNNNNNNNNNNNNNNNNNNNNNNNNNNNNNNNNNNNNNNNNNNNNNNNNNNNNNNNNNNNNNNNNNNNNNNNNNNNNNNNNNNNNNNNNNNNNNNNNNNNNNNNNNNNNNNNNNNNNNNNNNNNNNNNNNNNNNNNNNNNNNNNNNNNNNNNNNNNNNNNNNNNNNNNNNNNNNNNNNNNNNNNNNNNNNNNNNNNNNNNNNNNNNNNNNNNNNNNNNNNNNNNNNNNNNNNNNNNNNNNNNNNNNNNNNNNCAACAUUUUGGACCAUAAGGACUUUUUUUCUUUUACCAAAAAUUAAGGUUUAUAAUACAUAAAAAAUGAAAGAUUUUUUAUAAACAUAUUUUCCUCUCUUCUCUUAAACUUGUAGGUAUAUGAAGGGGACAAUAAAAGGUGUCUUUUUAUUUAGUUUAAUACACAUUCCAUAAUUAUAGAAGCAUGGCUAGUUUAUUUUAAAAAACAUGGGUCUUAAAGUGUUAAGACCCAUGCGAUAAUGACGAGUUAAAAGGUGUUAAAUGCUUGGAAAACUAGCUUCUCAUACACUUGAUGAAAUCCGAAUUUGUCUCCUCCUUUUUUACUUUCUCAAGUUUUGUUAAGAACAUAUAAAUAACACUUGCAUCGUAUCCUCACUUGAAGUUCAUACUAGUCAUGAACUUCAAGCUUAAGAGUUAAGAGUUUAUGGACCAGAAUCUACUUCAAGUUGGGUCAUUAUUAGUGUCUCAAAAGUUUCACAUUCUCCAUCACCUUCCAAGCCUGCCAACAGGAACUAAAUAAAUAUAAAGGUUGUUAUUUGUUCAUCUUCUUCUUUGGUGAUUAUUUUUCUUUCCAAACUUUGCAAGAAGAUCCUUGGUGGAUAUAAAAUGCUUUUAUGUUAGUUGAAAUUAUCAAGUCUUCUGUUGCCCAAAUCUUGUGUUUAUGAAGUUAUUUUUGAAUAAAAACCCAAUACAAAGAUGUAUCGAGACUUGAGACUUAGCAAUUGGUGUCCAUGCAUGAAGAGAGAUAUAACAUGGUAUGUGGAGAGAUACUUGACAUCUCAGAUGGUCAAGGUUGAGCAACAGAGACCGCAUGGAAAGUUGCGGCCCUUAGCGGUUCCCAUGUGGAAAUAGGAACAUAUUACCAUGGAUUUCAUGCCGAGGAAGGCCAAGGGAUUCAAUGUUAUUUGGGUGAUUGUCAAUCGUAUGACUAAGAGUGCCCAUUUUCUCGCCAUCCAGGAGAGUUCUUUGGUCUAGAAAUUGGCCGAUGUGUAUGUUUGCGAGAAUGUAUCUCACCAUGGGGUACCAGUUUCUAUUAUAUCUGAUCGUGAUGUUCAGUUUAUCUACCGAUUUUGUAGAGAUUUCACGAGGAUUUGGGUUUGAGACUACAUUUUAGUACGACUUAUCAUCACUAGACCGAUGGUCAUAGUGAGCGGACCAUUCAAAUGCUCAAGGAUACGUUGAAGGAUUGUUUCAUCAAUUUUGAUGGUAGUUGAGAUUUCUACCUUGCUCUAGCUGAUUUUUCUUACAAUAACAACCGUUACUCUAGCAUUAGUGCACCACCGUAUAAUCUUCACUAUUGGAGGAUGUAUCGUACACUAGUUUACCAGGGAGAGGUUGGCCACAACGUCAUGGGGUGGAAUGAGGUGGUCCUCCAAACGACGAAGCUUAUUCAACAAAUCAGGCAGAGGUUGCAGACAACUCAGAGCCGACAGAAGACUUAUGUUGGCCGACGAUGAUACGAGUUAGAGUUUAAAGUCGGAGAUAUGUUUUUACUAAAGGUAUCACCUUGAAGGGUCUUAUACGCUUCAGGAUGAGGGUCAGAUGGGUCCCCGAUUUAUUAGACCAUUUAAAGUAGUCACUAGGGUAGGCAAGGUAGCUUACCGACUGGAUCUGCCUGAGAAGCUUAGUCAGAUUCGCUGCACCUUCCAUUUAUAUUAACUUUGUAAGUGUGUGGUUGACAAGUCAAUGGUGGUUGCUUUGGAUGAGAUUUAGGUUGAUAAGCGACUAAAUUAUGUGGUGAGACGGCUUCUAUUCUGGAUAAGAAGAAAAAUGCCUUGUGCAACAUGGUGGUACCUCUAGUCAAGGUUCGGUGACAACAUAGGAAUGGUUCAGAGUUGCCUGGGAGCUAGAGUCGGAGACGUGUGAGCAUUAUCUAGAUCUAUUUGUUGCUGUGGAUUUCGGGGAUAAAAUUUAGUCAAGUAGGGGGAUAGUUGUAACAGCCUAUCCUUGUAGGUAAAAUUUAUUUGUUUAAAAAUAAUGUUAAAUGUGGAGUUUGGUCCUACGUUGGGUGUUGGGUUAUCUCCUACGCAAUGUGUAUGAGGGAAUCAAAUUGCGGGGACUUAAUGAUCUACACCCUAUGUAUAUCAAGCUACGUAGAGCGUAACAGCCUAGAACCAAAACCCUAAUUUUAGGGUGUUGAGCUCUAUUUAAAGGUUGUAAUACCCUUAAGAUCAUUCCAUCAUAAGCCUUUAUCUUACCAAAUGUCCCCUUUGAAACCCUAUUUCUUUUCUGGUGUAUUUUUGAGCUCGAGAGUGUUUUUGUGUGCAUUUUGAAGAAAGAAGAAGGUGUUAAAGUUGUUUGGAAGCUUGAAUCAGCUUUGGCUCCAAAAGUUCCUUUCCUUUAUCCAUCUCCAUAAGGUAUAAAGUUUACUCCUUGAUGAGUUUUUAUGAUAGAUCUAGCUUUGCCUUAGGUUUUCAUGCUUUUUGUCCCCAUAGCCAUGGUGUAUAUCAGCAAGUGCUACUCCAGACCAUUGACGUGUCAUUUUCAGAUGGAUUUAGGGUUGCUAAGCCAUAAAGAUGAGAGCUUGUUCACUCUCAUCCUUCUAUGCAUGUGUUUUUGAGCUUUAAGUAAAUUUUUGGAGUUAGGUUAUGAGUUUGUGCACUUGGUAUGCAUUCAAAUGGAUAAAGUCAGAGACUUUAUCCAUUAAGACGUUUUUAAUAUUGGAGAUCAGGUAGUUGGAACAGAUACUGGUUUGAAUUAAUGUCUUAAUGAAUGAGUUGAGGUUAUAGGGAUUACACAGGGCGUAAUUUCCCUUGCAUGGGGUGUAGCCUAUUGACUGUUGACUUGGACCGAGUUUAACUUUAGGUAAUUUGGUUUAUUAUAAGUUGUACAUUGAGGUUUGGUCCUUAUGUUUGUAUAGCUGACCUAUAGAGCCGGUAUUUGGAGUUAUUUUCAUUUCAACUAUCUUCUUGACUUUGAGGUGAGUUUUCCUCACUAUACUCGUGGGUCAAAGGCACCAAUCAGACCCACUAAGUUGUGUUGUGUAACCUGAUUUAUAGGAUGAUGUUAUGUUGUCGCNUGUUAAAUUCUAGAUCUGUAUGAUUAUCCGUAUUGUUGUUUAUAUGUUUAUCUAUUGCAUAUUUCGACAUAGUGUCGGUGGGUUAAAUCAGUAUUGCUUUUUACGGAAGGCAGACAAACCGAAGGCAAUCCAGUCGCGAAACUGUGGGUCAGGAGCAAUCCAUUCAGGAGACUUUGGGUUAGGGGCAAUCGAUUCGAGAAACUAUAGGUCAGGGGUAAUCUAGUUGGGAGACUCUAUACCCACCAUGGAUGUUUGUAUAGGUUUUGUUGUGAUGGGUAUUUUAGGGGAAUUCACUAAGCUUUGGCUUGCAGUUUCAUUUCAUGGUUUCAGGUACAUCAGAUGAUUAGGGAGAGGCGAAGGUGUGAUAGUACACAUCAUCUUGGGAUUUGUAUUGAGAGAUGUUUUAUAUACUCUAAUUUUUAUGACAUUGUUUGGAGAAUGUGGUUUUGUAUGACUUAUGGCUUAUAAAAAUGGUCUUUAAAAAAAAUUUACUAUGAUUUUUGGGAUGUUACAACACAAGUCAAUUAUUAAUUUAAACAUGUGUAUUUAGUCUUUGACUCUUAGUUAAUCAACUAAUCUUUAAUCAAUUAAUUAAACCAAUAGAUUUCUAAUUUCCAGUUUAAGUAAAUUGAUCAUCUUGCAUGUGCUUAUAAUCGAGUCAUACAUAUAAGAGAGAGGAAACAGUUAUUCGGGAGUAGAUCCUUGACGUCACGGAGGAGGACCUAUCGCACCGCAAAUUGAGAUAAAUAUGUGAUUUAUGAAAACGGAUUUAGGAGUCACCAUGUCGACCCUUCACACUACGUAGAGUGACGUACGUGUCGUGAAGAUGAUGUGAUAGCUAAGAACCCUUAUGAAUUUAUAGGUAAUUUCUAAAAUAAUUAAGACUAUUUAACAUUUAGAAAACCAGAUCAGAUUUAGAUCAUGCAACCUCAAACAUAAAAGCUAGACACCCUAAGUGCUAUAAAUAUAAACAUGUUGGCUUUGAUACCAUUAUUGGGCUAUGAGAGUCCUUAGACAAUGAAAGAUAUAGCGGAAGCAAUAUUAAACAGAACUAUAAAGGACCUCAAUAGACCUAGGCAACUAGUAAAUGAACAAAAUCAAGAGGCGUAGAAUAGAUACACUUGUGUGCUUCGAAUUCUUUCAUUUCACAAGUUGACCGGACUUGGAUGAUCCAAUGUAGAAUCCCUUUUUAUGAUUGCUCCCAGGAUACAAACAACAAACUGAAAUCACCUAACUAGAAGCACACCAUGAAUUAGAACAAUCCGAAUCUGGAAUUAACUUUUCACAGUUUGUUGACUCCUUCUUCGUGGUGCGGUAAUCAACUUUUAGGGUUUUUCAAGACUUUGAGAACACCUCCGGGUUUUUUAGGAACUUGACUGAUUUUCUAAACUUUAAUUUUGGUUUUAGGCGUAUCAAUUUAUAGUGGAAUGAUUCAAACUCUAAAAUAUAAACAUAAAGGUCUUGAUAAUUAAACCUAACAUUAGUAAUUAUCCUAAUAUGUAACUCAUUUAUUUCGAACGUUCCAGAAUCUCCUAGUUUAGUUUAAUUAAUCAAAAUUUAAUUAAUUAACAAAUGAGUCCCUAUAAUUUUUUUUUUCACUUUUUCAGUUUUGCUCAUAUUUGUUCUUGAGUGUAACCCAAAAAAGAGGUUGCUAUUCAUAUUAAUAUUACUCACUUGUUGUGUCUAUAAACACCAUUCUCCAAUAGUUUAGAGCAACAAUAAAUUAGACGACAUGUGAUCAGUAAGAAACGAUCAAUAGAGGAUCACAAACAUGUCAUUACACAAAUAAAAUACAACACAUAACCACAACCAACCAAAAAUACUUCCCCAAUCGAAUGACACGUCAGAAAACAAAGGCUUCCCAGACAUAAUUAUUGUCAAUUAAAGCUUCAUUAGGCGGACUUGUGGCCUCAAAAUAUGCUCCUUGUGUAAAAUCAACAAAUUCAUCUUAAAUUAUAUAGAUGAUAGAUAACAGAUACACUCUAAGUAUCUAUUUCUUUUAAUUAAGGUUAUGGAUGAUUAUGUCGGGGUUAAUCUAAUUUUAGAACCAAAACCAAACCUAUUUUUUUUAUUUUCGCUUUUAAAAAAGUCGAUAGUUUACUGUUCUUUUGAUUUUGGUGUUCAGUUUAUAUGUUUAGUCUUGUUAUUUUUCUGUUCAUUUGAGAUUUUAUACUGAUGAGCAUCGGUACCGGCCCGAGAAGCGAACUUGGUUUAAAAUAGGAACCGAACCAGACCGCCAAUUUUACUGGUUUCGGUUCUACCGGUUCUUACCGGGCCUUCAAUGUUGGAAUCGGUCCUCGAGAAAUAGCAACAUAUUUUGAGAAAUAUUUCGGUAACGGUUUCAGUUUUUUCCGGUUCUAAAAAUCCACAAGAAUAUCGUCACGGUCUCAGCCCAAUAGUUAUAUCCUGUUCCGAUUCCGGUGCCGGCCAGUUCCCAGUGCAAAUGUUCAUCCCUAUUUUAUACUCUCUUUUUGUUUUUCAUUAACCAUGCACGAUCACUAAGUUUAAAAAUCUUAGUUUACAAAACAAUAAAAAUAAAAUAAAGAUUAUAACAUCAACAUUACUAUUGUUGAAGAAAACACAUCAUGUAAAAUCGAAACACAACCGCAUUAAAAUACUUUUCCUUUCCUUUGAUUGUAAAUGCAUCAACAUAUUAUCAUCUCUCGUCAUUCUACUUCCCUCCUUUUUCUUUUUAGUGUUCACCCUGAAUUAGGAAAACCAUGUCGUUGGGGUGUCAGUUUGUGUGGUACUAAAUUGGUGGGGUUGUGCUAUUGGUUGUAUCAAUGCAUCACAUCACCUCACUCGCCUUCCAUCCUAAGCUCUUUCGUAAGCUAUACUUAACACUCUUAUAAGUUAUAAUAGUGGUGGGUAUAGCUUAGAAAGGAAUGGAGGUGAGUGGGCUUAUGUUGAAAAAAAGUUAGUACUUAUACGUUGUAGCUGGCUAUGCACGAAGUUGAAAAAAAUAUUUUAAAACGUCUAUUUUGUUUUGCUAAAUUGGAAUUGCACAAAGAAAAUGCCCUCCUCGUUGAUUUAUAUUGUCGUUUGUAUUAUUGAAUUUGAAUUUUCUUUGUACAUUUCAGUUUUUGAUAGUAAUCAAUGGUAAAACAAAUAUCUAAUCGCACGUUUAUAAUCAAAAUAAUAAGAUAUUUGUCUGCUAUUAUCUCAUUUUUUUUGUUAUAAAUAAGAAUAUCUUAAAACUUAAAUAAUUAUAAACUUAUGCAAUAGGUUAUUUGAUUAAAUUGAUAGUUUAUCCAUCAAUAAAGACAAACUUUUACAUUAGGAUUAAAUUGAUAGUUUAUCCAUAAAUAAAGACAAACUUUUACAUUAUGAUCAAGCUUCUUUUGUAAGACCCAGUGUUAACCCCGAAUUCUUAAACUUGGUUUCAGUGAUCGAAUCAAUCCGCUCUCUCAUCUCCUCUGUCAAAUAAUUUUUCCAAUCUCCCACCUUUCCUUUUCUGAAAAAAUCCCGAUUCUCCACCGCCACCUGCGCGGUAAACUUCUGAGCACCGCCGCCUUCAUUAUUCACCUCAAGAUUACUCAAAUUCUCAAAGCUACAAAGCUUCACAAUCUCUGCCACCACCCCUCUCUUCUCCUCCUCCGCCGAAAAAGGCAUUCCCAUGAACGCCGCCAACUUCUUCAGCUCCACCGACGUUUCUUUCUUCAUGUCCUCAUACUUCAAGAACAAGAUCUUCUCAGGUGAUUCCUGGCUAGCUUUCCAGUAUCCCAACACAUGGUCCCAAAAUGGUCCGUACUCAGAGACCCCAUUGCAGAAAAGCUCGUAAGCUUCAUUGAACGAAAGGGGUGGUAGUUCUUUCGAUCUAAGUUUGCUCAUGAAGUGCCACUUGGAAAUGAGUGCAUCUUUUGGAUCCCUACACACGUAUACAAACUUGCAUGUCGAGGAGGGUGAUGACAUUGAGGUCGGUAACAAGCUAUGAGCAAAGUGUGUGGCGAACAUUCGAGGAGAAGGGAGAUGCUCAAACUUAGUUAUCGGAUAAUCAAGAAAAAUGUGUGUGUCAAGGAAAGGGAAAGCACUCUGGGGCCCGUUGCGACGAAGGGGAUGAUCAGAAAAACUGUAACGGUGGCGGUUGGUGGUGGCGAACAUGAGAGCCUUUAGCCAGGUGGUUCCACACUUCAUGAAAGCUGCAAGGAAGAUGUCGGUGGAUUGGGCAUGGAAGUAGUUGUUGAUCAUUAAUAAGCCUUUGAUAACUUGGGGACUCAACCAGAAACCUUCGUGUAGAUAGAUGUUUGCGCUUCUCCAGCCUUUGUCUUUGGGGAGAGUUGCAAGAAGGCUUUUGAGCUUUUCAUCGAGCUUCUUGUAGGCUUGUUCUUCUUCUGUAGGGAUUUGGUUUUCGCCAGUAAUAGAGGUGGGUUGGUGGCAUGUAUUUUGAUCGGGAACAAGGUAUGUCGACAUACCGUUGGACUGGAUUUUCAGGGAGUGGAGGUAGUUCUCAACUAAUUUUAUAUAUGUAGGAGAAACUUGAAACAAAAAGCUUCUUGUAUAUAUGGUAAUUGCUUUUGAUAGAUACACGUUUUAAUUAACUUAAAUACAAAACGAUGUAACAACUGUCAAUUAAUUGCUUAUUUAUGUUACGUUGCCAAAUUCAAAAACCAGAUUAUUAAUAUAUUGGCGUCUCAAAAGGACAUAAAUAUAAUAGUAAGAUACAUGUUAGCAAUUGAAGAUAAUAUUAUUGUAUAUCAAACCCUGCCAAAGAUAAUAUUAUUGUAUAUCAAACACUCCCUAAGGCUCAGUGGGGUUGUCAAAACCUCCUAGGGCGUUUCACCCUUACUAAAAGCUUGGGGUGUAAAUUAAUGAUACGACACGACAAAAAUAUACAAAACGAAAUCGGGACGAAAUCAAAAUUCGAAUUUGUUUUUUGUGUCGUGAUCGUGUAAAGUAUAAAAAACAUGAUGUCGUGUCGUGUUGUUCGUGUUUACAAAUCCACACGAAGUUGAUAUGAUUGACCAUUUGUUUGUCGUGUUUUUCGUGUUUGUCUUUUUUAUCGUGUUAUAUAUGAUUAAAUAAGAAUUAAAUAACAUAAUAGUUAUGUAAUAUUAUCUUUGUCGUGUCGUGUCGUGAUGUCGUUUUUUAAUUGGUUCGUUUUCGUGUUGUUGUGUCGUAUUGUGUCAGACAAAAACACAACAUAUGCCUACUAAAAACCGCUUUGCGCCAAGGGUCAUCGCCAGCUUCCAUGUGCCACUUGGUAGCCAAGGAGAGAGGAGAGUAAAGAGAGAAGGUUGGAUUUGGGCUGUGAUUGGUUUUUUAAAUUUUUUUUAAAUAAAAUCUAUUAAAAUCACAGACUACCAUUUUUUAAUUUUCUUCAUUAAUAUAUACAUGCAAAGACUAUGUGACAAUCAAAAAAACCUACAUGCAAUGUAUUAGGAGCAAUAUAAAUAUAAAUAUAACAAUAAAAUACAUAUAUACAAUCAUUAUUAAUCUUAGGUUUUCUGUUUUAAGUAACAAAUAUUUGCAAGUGAUGUCCAAUCUUAUAGUUAGGUUGAUGCAUUUAGCUUUAUACUUAUGUAAGGUGUAAGGUUGGGAGUUCGAUUUCCUUAAACUACGUUUUUUGGUAUCAUGCGUAGGGAAGUUUUUCCUGAAAAUCCCUAUGGGGUUGAGUUUGCCCUGUAAAAAAGCUCGAACCUAAGGUAAACAUCGAAAAUAUUAUAACAAAUAUUUAUUGUAUGUAAUUUAUAAAACGUUGAUAUUUGAUAUCUUGGUAGGUGGUAUACUUGGCCUCCUAUUAGUUAGAUAUUUCGAUCUAUAAUAUUUAAUGGGUAAAUCUACCCUAAUAAAUGAAAAUGACUUUGCUACAUGUCCUUUUCUCAUUCAUUUGGACACAUGGCAUUUUCUAGAAAUUUUAAAAUUUUCUAUUUUCCACGUGUCAUUUUAUUAUAUUUUUUAUUUUAUUAAAUUAAAAUCCACAUUUAAUAUAUAAGGUAAUAUAUAUGUAAGGUAUUUAUUAGAAAUGGUUUAUAUAUGUAAUGUAUCUAAUGCAUUAAAGUCUCAUUAAUUUUAAUAAUUCAAAAAAUUUGUUAUUUUUCUUAUAUGGGUCUCACACCUAGUAUAAUCAUAAUAAAGUAGUGAUUACCAAAAACAUAACGGGUUGGUUUAUCAUUUACGGCAAGACAUUAUGUUUCCUUACCUUAUUAAUUAAAUUUAGUCCGAUUUUAUCUCAGGUUUGUAGUGGGUUGCUCAUGUUGGUGGUGGAUCCUUGUUGUCCAUUGUUGGUGGUUUAGAUUUGCUUUUAUCCCCCUCGUGUUUGUUGGUUCUUGGAGCUCGCUUAAGUAUUGCUAUUUAAUUGCAUUUUGGAUGCUGGUGCUCGGAUUCUAGUCUUGAAUACCCUUUUGUUUCAAGGGUAAUUUCGGUUUUGUGGUGUUGUUUAGGAAAUUUUCUGCAGCUGCUCCUGCUUGGGUACUCUAUUUUUUGUUUCUGUGGGCUUUUGUCCCCAAGGGUAUUUUUAGAUUUCGUUGGUGUUACGGAGUCCUUUUAACUCUUCAAGCAUCUGCUAGUCGGUUUAAUUUGGAUGUCUUUCUUAACCACACCACUAAAAAAGUGUCACCAACUCAACGUCAUUUCAGUUUCACUAUAAAUUCACUAUCAAACCACUAGCCUUGGAAAUGGUUACAACUCCACAAUUUUUAUCUUUUUAUUUUUUUUAUAUUUUCUUUUGUCAUUAAAUUAAAUAAAAAAACAUAAAUAAAUAUUUUACAUUAAUUGAAAAUACAUUGCGUUAAUUAAAAACACACAAAUAUAAAUCCUAAAUCACUUUAAAAAACACAAAAAAUUAAAACAUAAAUUACUAAAAAAACAUAAAACAUACCAAAUAAAACUUAAAUAUUAAAACACUAGAACCUAAUUUCCAUAUUUUUCAUGAACUGUUGGAUUUUUAGAAACGUCGCUAGAUAUUUCCGGGUCGAAAUCCAGUUGCGGUUUUGUGUUUAUGAUCUGAAGAUCGGUAAGUGUUAUUUUUCAGCAACGAGCAUCCUCUAUUGAUUCAAAUUUUUUUUUUCUAGAAAACUUAGAGCUUUGUCUAUUUUUUCCACAAGUACGUCUUUGCUAAUCGUUUUUCUGCUUGAAGACCCAGCCUUUCUCGAUUUGUCCCUUCUCGGUGGUCGAUGAAGUUGGACUUCCGAUGGACCCUCCCCCUCAAUGUUGUCGAAGUCAUCAUUGAAGUCGAGGCCAAAACCCAUAUCGGACUAGGAAGUUUUUGGUCUUUUGUUGGAUCCAGUAGUAGAUCUUGAUUGCGUCUCACCCGGAUAAAUAACCCAUUUUGGAACUUUACGACAAACUUCUCAUGAUUUUUGGUUGCCGAAUUGUUUACCAUUAUUGGUAAUUUUGUAUUGGUAACAUGUGGUCGAUAAAAUAUUAAAAUCGUUGCUACCACUUUUGUGCAUAUUUUUAAGAUUGUCCAAUAUGUCAUUAAAUUAUGUGCAAAUCGCUUGUAGGUCACUUCAUUUUGCAUUGAACGAAUCGUAUGUCUGCUCCGUUUUCCUUCCUAAUAGCGCAUGAAAGUGGUCUAGAACAUGAUUCUAAAAACUUUGACCCUAUUGCGCAUUUCCGUUGUCAAUGUCUUGCGAUAUGAAAAUCCAAGCUUUCACUAAAAUUUCCUCCUCGUCUUCGGUCCAUUGUGUAGUUCUCUUUUUUUUGUUCUUUUCCCUUUUUGUCUUCUUCGAGUUGGUUGUUGUGUUUCUUGGACCCGUUCCUCGUUGCUGUUGUCGAGGUUUAUAGGUUGGAAUUGAGAUAAUGAGACUUGAGAUGGUUAUGAACGUUGUGCGUGAAAUUGUUAAUGUUGAAAUUGUUGAGAAGGUUGUUGCUGAAAGGCUUUGGAAUUGGGGUUUAUUGAAUUGUUGUGGCUGUUAUUGUUGGUUGUAGUUUGGGUAGUAUGAAAGAUUGGUAAAAUAGAGGUUGUUGUUGGAUUAGGGAUGAUAUCAAUUACAUGUAAAAAUUUGCAUAUAGAUCAUUUGGAGUGUUUGGAAUAUUUGAAGUGGGUGGGGUAUUUUGAUAUGGAUCCAUUUGAUCAAGAAAAAAUAAGAAAAUAUAAAGAAGUUGUGGGUUUUUCUAGUGCGAAAUGUUUAGAAAAUAGGUAGUAUUUAUAGUUGUAGUUUGUGUGAUUUUAAAACUAAAAAUUAAAAAAAAAAAGGGUCCAACGUACACAACAAACAGUCAAAAAGUGGACCGUUGCUGCUACAUUCACUUCUGAUUCGUCAUCUUUACCCGUGUUCGCAUCCCCAUCACAGCCAAGCCACCGAACAUUGAGGCGGUGUUCACACGUGACUUGGCUUGCCAUAUAGGAAACUCACGUUGUUUUAGGGUUGCUCUAGUUUUUUUAGUACUUAUAUUUGUAAUUUUGUUCUUGGGGUUUUGUUGUUGUUUGUUGAAAUAUCCCAAAAAUACGGUCCAAAAUUUUCGUUUUGAUUAUUUAUAAAAACCAUAAAUACCAUUUUUCAUUCCAAAAAAACAUAAAUAAUAUAUCUCAAAUCAUCAUAAUAAAAUAUUGUAUCAAAAUCAUGUGCGAAAUAUUAGAGUCUAAACAUCCCUGGCUAAAAGUUGUGGUGUGUGCCAUGCAGUCAUCCCGAGCUUUUCCGCUUGCUAGCAGAAGUACUUGAAACAAAAACUGAAAACUGUAAGCAUGAAACUUAUUGAGUCUCCCCAAACUACCACAUACCAUACAUUGAAUCACAUAAUAACAUACAUUGGGCCUUGUCCGCUACAUCUGGCCCCACCCGGCAUCGGACCGAAGUCUAGCAUCGGGCCCCACCCGACAUCAGACUUAAGUCUGGUAUACAUAUAUUAAUCAACAAGCAUAUAACAUAGACAUAUAACAUAAAAAUAUAAGCAUUCCUCGAGCUUUCCCCGACAUCGGACCGAAGCAUGGUACACAUAGACAUAUCAUAUAAGCUAAACAUUCCUCGGGCUUGCUUCAGCAUCGGACCGAAGUCCGGAACACAUAAGCAAACACAUGCCAAAAUCAUGAAGACAUCAAGCAUACAAACAUUCCUCGGGCUUGCCCCGGCAUCGGAUCGAAGUCCGGAAACAUAUAACUACAUCGGGCUAACCCUGAUAUUUAUAACAUACAUAAACAGGCCAGCCUUGGUGCCUUAGACCCGUUCCUACUUGAAGAGGACUUACCUCUCAAGUUGACUACUGAAAAAUCAUGUGAGGGAAUCUCUGAUGGCUGCUCCAACGACUCCCCGGGUAUCAUUAUCACAAUAAACACUUAGUCAAAAAAAGAGAAUCCUUCUAAGGGUAAAAUGACCAUUUUACCCCCUGAGCUCUGCUGGAAGAUCCAAUCGGUACGCCACCUUGCCCACCCGGGCUAUAACCCUAAAAGGACCGAUAUACCUGCGGCCUAGAUUUCCCCGCUUCCGGAACCGGAUGACACUUUUCCAAGGUGAAACCUUCAGGAGGACCGUGUCCCCGACCUAGAACUCCAGGUCCGAUCGGUGUCUGUCAUCGUAGCUCUUCUUCUGAAUCUGAGUAGUCUGAAGCCUGCUCCUGACCUGCUGGAUCGACUCUGUAGUCUGAAGUACUACCUUAGCACUCCCUAUGACUCUCUGACCGACUUCGCCCCAACAGAUUGGGAUCCUACACUUCCUCCUGUAGAGCAUCUUGAAAGGACGUCGGUCUAUGCUAGUGUGGUAGUUGUUGUUAUACAAAAAUUCUGCUAAUUGAAUAUAUGUAUCCCAACUGCCACCGAAAUCCAAGACACAUGCGCAUAGCAUGUUCUCGAGACGAGUACCCAUCUCAUCAUGAAACCGCUUCCAGAAUCUGGAAGUGAAACGGACAUCUCGGUCUGACACCACCGAGACAGGCACUCCAUGUCGUGCCACUAUCUCAUGCACGUAAAUCUCAGCCACCUUCUCGGCCAAUAUGGUCUCCUGGAUCGGGAUAAAAUGAGCACUCUUGGUCAACUGAUCCACGAUGAACCUUAUCGAAUAAACCCCAUGUACGGUCCAGGGAAGCUUAGUGAUGAAAUCCAUAGUGAUAUCUUCCCGUUUCCACACGAGAAUGUCUAACGACUGCCUCUUGUCGUGGGGACUCUGGUGCUCUACCUUGUGAAGGGUUUUGAGCAUUCUAACACUCCUAUGGUGAACAUGCAAGCCUAAAUACCUUGGAUCUAUGUUUUCUCUAUUAUACAUCCAAACUUGAACUUUCCAAGGUAUUACCCUAACUAGCAUACAAUCAUUGAUACUUGGGCAAUAUAAACAAGUUAGAAGACAUACCUUUUCAUGUAAGUUGAUUCCAUGGAGCUUAACAGCCUAGUGCCUAAAGUAUGACACCUCAAAUGGUUCACACAACGUCACCAACAACUUGGAAUAACUUGAGAGAUAAGGUUCCUAUGCUCAAAUCGGCUAGCUCUCAUGUGUACACACACUAGUGCCAAUUUCUUGAGCCAUGUGGUCCUUAUAUAUUGUGGCUAUUAGGGUUACACCAUGUAACUCAUGUCUUUCCAUAUUCUUCAUGCUCCAUGGGUUAAAACCUCCAUGGAGUAUCCAUGGGUUACUUCAUGGGUUUAGCCCAAGAUGAAAAACUAUGGAUCAUAAGCUGACAUAUAUAAGAAUGAAUGAUUUACACAAUCAAUCCUCAUAUAUUUAAUUAGUCUCCUUUUGAUGAAAAUAUAUUAACAAAUCAUAAAUAUCUUUUUUCUCACAAAAGUCAAUCCAAAUUGUUACGAUGCCAUGCAACCCAAAUGGACCAUGCCAAUCGGGUCAAGUACAUACCAAUUAUAGUUAUGGACUUAGACACUAGUCCAACAGUCUUCCACUUGGAUAAGUCUAAAACUAUUCUUGCGUAUGACUUCACAACCCGACUAGAAAUCGUAGCUCUUAAAAGAUGUUGUCGAACUCUGAACAAAUCAAUGAUGCGUCCAUUAGAGAAGGGAUCAUAUAUUCCUGCAUUCUAAAUAUCAUAUGGAAUGAGACAUGGAUUAUAAUCAUUCUCUUUGUCCAUUUGUUUUUUCCCGAUUUUUGAUUUAUGACAACCAACUAAUUGAACAAAUCACAUUAGUCCAGGAUUCGCCAAGCACUCUGGGUGUCGUCAGUAAAUCAUUGAGGGGCCCACAGAUAUCGCUUUUAUCCCUCAAAGGGUAAAAGGAAUGGAUAAACUUCAACUCGUAUGCUUGUUCUACUACUUGUUGAAUCAUACACUAAGGCACGUUUUAUAACAUCAAGUUACCAAUGCAUUUUCGUACAAUCAAUGUAUAACCAACUCAUAGGCAACAACUCAUAUCUAUAGGUUUGAAGAAUAUAAGAUAUUAUCGUCUCAUGAUCACUCGUGAUCAAAUCCAUGAAAUGAGUCAAAUGAGCGUGGGUUUAAUAAAAUACUCAGAAAUUUUUAGCACUCAUGAAUGUUGCAGCAACUCUUGCUAUGUCCACUACCUUGGACAUCUAUAAACCAGUUUCAUGACAGUCUUGAUUCAUAUCUACUUCCAACAUAUGACCGACUGUGGAUGGUUUGAAUAACUUAGUCAUUCAGGAAGAACGGCCUAGUUAUUCUGGAAGUCAAAGCUGUUGGGUUUUGAGCAUUCUAACACUCCUAUGGUGUACAUGCAACCCUAGAAAUCUUGGAACUAUGUUUUAUCUAUGAUACAUGCAAAAUUGAUUUUUCCAAGGUUCUUAACCUAUCUAGCAUACAAGGGAACUUUUAAUCAUAAAAGAUAGUAAGAAAACAUACCUUGUAGUACUUUGGAUUCCUUGAGAACCUUAUGAUCCUAGCACCCCAAGUGUGAUGCCUCAAAUGUCUCACACAACACCAAAUUCACUUGGAAUAUACUUGAGAGAAAUUUCACACACUUAGAAUCGGCUAUGCCCUCUUAUUUCGUACACUAGUGCCGAUUUUGGUCUGCAACAUAUUGCUUAUAUAGUGUAUUAUAAUUAGGGUUACACCAUGUAAACCCUAAUUUGACAUGGCUCUUCAUUUCCUUGAUCCAUGGGUUCAAAGAUACCAUGGAUCAUCCAUGGAGCAUCCUAUGGGUUUUAGCCCAACUUGAUAACCCAUGGAGCAUUAGCCCACUAUACAAGUAUGGGUGAUUUACACAAUCAACCCAUAUAUUUAAUUAGUCUCCUUUUUAAGCGCUUAAUUAAUACUAAACUAAUUAUUGAUCAAUACUAAUUAAAUAAUACAAUUAAUAUAUUAGAACUUAUCAUAUAUUAAUAAACCAUAAGUGUUAUUUCUCUCAUUUAGUUUAUUCAAUUGCAUGAUGCCAUGCAACCCAAAUGGACCAUGCCGGGUCGGGUCAAGUACAUACCAGAAAUAGUUAUGGACUUAGACACCUUANAUCCAAUAGUCUCCCACUUGGAUAAGUCUAAUAACUAUAUCUGCAUGAAUAACUUCAGGAACCGAUCAUCAAUCGUAGCUGUUUCAAGGUCUCGCAGAACUGAGAUGACGAUGAUAUUCCAUUUAAGAUAAGUGAUCAUAUAAUCCUCUGUUCUAGAUAUCAGCUGGAAAAAUACAUGGAACAAUGUCUUACUUAUUGUCCAGCUGUUUGUUUCUAGAUUUCCGAUUUGUUUGACUUAGAGCUUAAGUGAAUAGAUCAACUUAGUUCUGACCAGGGCCGAUACAUGUGUAACAUCCCAAAAUUCAAGGCCAAAAAUUUAAUUUUUAAAUAAAUU